GGCACGGAGGAAGCAGUUACAGCAGUGGCGGAUUCGGAGGUGGUCACGGAGGAAUCAGUUACAGCAGUGGCGGACUCGGAGGUGGUCACGGAGGAAGCAGUUACAGCAGUGGCGGAUCAGGUGGCCACGGAGGAUAUUCUAGUGGCGGAUAUUCUGGAGGUGAUGGGUAUUCCAGUGGAGGGGGUGGAUAUUCUAGCGCUGGUCAUGGAGAUGAUGACAUUGGUGGAUAUCCAUGAUACAGUGCUGCCACAACACGUCGUACAUAUUUAUUGCAAACUAAUACUACCACUGCUUCUUUCUCCCCUGCAUGGGAGUGCAAAGUUCUUGAUGUUAUCUGUUCUAUGUACAUCAUCAGACGUCUGAGUUGAAGCACUGAGACCCUUUAUGCAGGGCACAACUGGAUUUUUGUACCACACAAGUGACCGCAUGGAAAGGCUAAGUUGGUUGCUGGUCGAUAUACACGAGACACAAAGGACCAGCAAUUCAAGACAGUCUUAAACAUUGCUACUACAUAACUGAGAGGCUGAACUUGCGUCACGUUUUAUGUAAAACGGACUAGAGCGGGGGCAGAAGUGGAGGCAAUACCAAAGACUAGCGGACAUUUUGGUAACACAACAAACGUCACAAAAUAAGGGUCCCACUAUGAUCUGAUUUAUCAUUCAUCUUAAUACUCCACCGUGUGAAUGAAUGUAUGGUGCUCAUAACUAUUUUUUAUAAUAAAUUUUUAUAGUUUAAUAAUA